UAGGGAAUCUUCCACAAUGGACGCAAGUCUGAUGGAGCAACGCCGCGUGAGUGAAGAAGGGUUUCGGCUCGUAAAGCUCUGUUGGUAGUGAAGAAAGAUAGAAGUAGUAACUGGCCUUUAUUUGACGGUAAUUACUUAGAAAGUCACGGCUAACUACGUGCCAGCAGCCGCGGUAAUACGUAGGUGGCAAGCGUUGUCCGGAUUUAUUGGGCGUAAAGCGAGUGCAGACGGUUCAAUAAGUCUGAUGUGAAAGCCUUCGGCUCAACCGGAGAAUUGCAUCAGAAACUGUUGAACUUGAGUGCAGAAGAGGAGAGUGGAACUCCAUGUGUAGCGGUGGAAUGCGUAGAUAUAUGGAAGAACACCAGUGGCGAAGGCGGCUCUCUGGUCUGCAACUGACGCUGAGGCUCGAAAGCAUGGGUAGCGAACAGGAUUAGAUACCCUGGUAGUCCAUGCCGUAAACGAUGAGUGCUAAGUGUUGGGAGGUUUCCGCCUCUCAGUGCUGCAGCUAACGCAUUAAGCACUCCGCCUGGGGAGUACGACCGCAAGGUUG
rnacentral:rRNA from 1 species